rnacentral:rRNA from 1 species
CCUACGGGAGGCAGCAGUGAGGAAUAUUGGUCAAUGGAGGCAACUCUGAACCAGCCAUGUCGCGUGCAGGAAGACGGCCCUAUGAGUUGUAAACUGCUUUUGUACGGGGGUAAACGCAGAUACGCGUAUCUGACUGAAAGUAUCGUACGAAUAAGGAUCGGCUAACUCCGUGCCAGCAGCCGCGGUAAUACGGAGGAUUCAAGCGUUAUCCGGAUUUAUUGGGUUUAAAGGGUGCGUAGGCGGUCGGAUAAGUUAGAGGUGAAAUCCCGAGGCUCAACUGCGGAAUUGCAGCGGAUACUGGGCGGCUAGAGAGUAGUGGCGGUAGGCGGAAUGCAUGGUGUAGCGGUGAAAUGCUUAGAUAUCAUGAAGAACACCGAUUGCGAAGGCAGCUUACCA